rnacentral:lncRNA from 1 species
AGUGUUUUACUUGAGGACAAACAAGAUUCAAGGUUAGGGUAUUUGAUGAGUGAGUUUAUACCUAUGAAUUGAGUAUUUUUGGCUAGAUGAAAUUGUGUGUUCUUAGUUAUUUUAUGUUCAUUUUUAUGUGUUUUUAUGUUUUUGUGUAGGACAAGGAGUUGGAAGUUAUUUGGUUGCAUUUUAGUCAAAUUAGAGUUGAUAGUCACAAUCCAAGCGGACCAAUGCAUCGACGUUCAACAAAUGGGCUCGGCGUGCAGCCAUGUGCAGCAGGCGUCGGUGACUUAGGGCAACUUGUGCGCGAGCAGUCAGCAAUUGAGCAACAUUGGCCCAGAUGGAAGGCAAACGGGUGCGAGUUGGCGCACAUAGGCACAGAUGGGCGCGGCCGAGGAGCAGAGCUAGAGAGGACCAGCACCGCAGCGCUAGGCGCAACAGCGCUUGGGAUUCAAAAGGAGAGCCUAGCAAUGCUGAGGUGUAGUGUCACGACGCGUGCAAGGCUGACUUGCUUGGCGUGCGGUUGGGUUUCGCUAGGAUUGUGAUAUUACGUUAUGUCUAGUCCAAUUUGGAAUAGGCAUCUAUAAGCUGCGAGAACGGCAUAUAAAUACAAUAAAAGGCUGAUUUUCACAGAGAGACAUCAUACAUAGAUACAACACACUACGAAAGGUAGGAGUUCUGAUCAGAUUUCCUAAGAGCUGAAGGAAACACACAGAGAGCAAGAUUUAGAAGCGG